rnacentral:rRNA from 1 species
CCUACGGGUGGCAGCAGUAGGGAAUAUUGCUCAAUGGGGGAAACCCUGAAGCAGCAACGCCGCGUGGAGGAUGAAGGUUUUCGGAUUGUAAACUCCUUUUGUUAGAGAAGAUAAUGACGGUAUCUAACGAAUAAGCACCGGCUAACUCCGUGCCAGCAGCCGCGGUAAUACGGAGGGUGCAAGCGUUACUCGGAAUCACUGGGCGUAAAGAGCGUGUAGGCGGGUUAGCAAGUCAGAUGUGAAAUCCUAGGGCUUAACCAUAGAACUGCCUUUGAAACUGUUAUUCUAGAGUAAGAGAGAGGAUAGUGGAAUACUUGGUGUAGGGGUAAAAUCCGUAGAGAUCGAGAGGAAUACUCAUUGCGAAGGCGACCAUCUAGCACAAAACUGACGCUGAUGCGCGAAAGCGUGGGGAGCAAACAGGAUUAGAUACCCUUGUAGUC